rnacentral:rRNA from 1 species
AGUGAACGCUGGCGGUAGGCCUAACACAUGCAAGUCGAACGGCAGCACAGUAAGAGCUUGCUCUUACGGGUGGCGAGUGGCGGACGGGUGAGGAAUACAUCGGAAUCUACUUUUUCGUGGGGGAUAACGUAGGGAAACUUACGCUAAUACCGCAUACGACCUACGGGUGAAAGCAGGGGAUCUUCGGACCUUGCGCGAUUGAAUGAGCCGAUGUCGGAUUAGCUAGUUGGCGGGGUAAAGGCCCACCAAGGCGACGAUCCGUAGCUGGUCUGAGAGGAUGAUCAGCCACACUGGAACUGAGACACGGCCCAGACUCCUACGGGAGGCAGCAGUGGGGAAUAUUGGACAAUGGGCGCAAGCCUGACCCAGCCAUACCGCGUGGGUGAAGAAGGCCUUCGGGUUGUAAAGCCCUUUUGUUGGGAAAGAAAAGCAGCAGGUUAAUACCCCGCUGUUCUGACGGUACCCAAAGAAUAAGCACCGGCUAACUUCGUG